rnacentral:rRNA from 1 species
GACGAACGCUGGCGGCGUGCUUAACACAUGCAAGUCGAGCGGUAAGGCCCUUUCGGGGGUACACGAGCGGCGAACGGGUGAGUAACACGUGGGUGACCUGCCCUUAGCUCUGGGAUAAGCCUGGGAAACUGGGUCUAAUACCGGAUAUGACUCCAUGACGCAUGUUGUGGGGUGGAAAGCCUUGUGCGGCUAGGGAUGGGCCCGCGGCCUAUCAGCUUGUUGGUGGGGUGAGGCCUACCAAGGCGACGACGGGUAGCCGGCCUGAGAGGGCGACCGGCCACACUGGGACUGAGACACGGCCCAGACUCCUACGGGAGGCAGCAGUGGGGAAUCUUGCGCAAUGGGCGAAAGCCUGACGCAGCGACGCCGCGUGA